rnacentral:rRNA from 1 species
GACAGAGGGUGCAAACGUUGUUCGGAAUUACUGGGCGUAAAGCGCGUGUAGGCGGCUUUAUAAGUCGGGGGUGAAAGCCUGUGGCUCAACCACAGAAUUGCCUUCGAUACUGUAGAGCUUGAGACCGGAAGAGGUAAGUGGAACUGCGAGUGUAGAGGUGAAAUUCGUAGAUAUUCGCAAGAACACCAGUGGCGAAGGCGGCUUACUGGUCCGGUUCUGACGCUGAGGCGCGAAAGCGUGGGGAGCAAACAGG